CUACGGGGGGCUCCAGGCGCGAAACCUUUACAAUGCACGAAAGUGUGAUAAGGGAAUCCCAAGUGCUUUGCUUUUAGUAAAGCUUUUGCCAAGAGUAAAAAUCUUGGCGAAUAAGUGGUGGGUAAGACUUGUGCCAGCCGCCGCGGUAACACCAGCGCCACAAGUGGCAACCACUAUUAUUGGGCCUAAAGCGUCCGUAGCCGGUCCAGUAAAUUUCCUGUGAAAUCGUUAGGCUUAACUUAACGGCAUGCAGGAAACACUACUGGACUAGGGACCGGGAGGCGUCAGAGGUAUUCCUGGGGAGCGGUAAAAUGCUAUAAUCUCAGGAGGACCACCAGUGGCGAAGGCGUCUGACGAGAACGGAUCCGACGGUGAGGGACGGAAGCCAAGGGAGCAAACCGGAUUAGAUACCCGAGUAGUC
rnacentral:rRNA from 1 species